GACAAGAGCAGGAAGUAGGGAACAAACACAGAAGGCUAACGGCACCAGGAAAAGACUAUAAAGUACAAGCAGAACAUAAUCAAACAAGGCAUGAACAGGGAAAACCAAAAACAGGAAUACAAAGCAAAGACAUGGAAGACAAUGCUGAACAAAAAAGAAAAAUAAAACCAAAGGAUGAGGCUGGGCUCUGACCCUCUGUGGGCAAGAAAGGAACACCACGUUGUGGUGAGGAAGGUUGCCCAGUACAUUGCCUUGUUGGGACAACGUCCAGGAGAACCUGCUUACCAGUAGAGCGGAUUUGGUAACCUACAUAUCAAGGUUUCAAUGGGACAUGGUGAAGUAUCCCAUCACACAGUCUCGACGGUCAAAAUCUCCAAGGUGAGUCCGCAGGGGCACGUCCACGAUGGUGCAGCCUCUUUUGGCCAUAGUUACUAAAUCGUGUCAUGGUGUCUCGGCCUCUGAUGGGCUGUCUAUUUUCUCCUGCGCUGGGCAGCAAGUAACACAGAUCGCCACCUAUCUUCAGGCCAAGGCAUCGCACUACAAUGCCCUGAGCUGGAAUGUCCAGUAUUCUUUCAAAAAAGAAAAAAAAACAGAGUCAAGCCCCAGGGAAGCUUGAUUUAGCCUCUGAUCUUUUCAAUAGCAUUUCAAUACAUGUAGAAUAUUUAGA